GAGUUUGAUCUUGGCUCAGAUUGAACGCUGGCGGCAUGCCUUACACAUGCAAGUCGAACGGCAGCACGGGAGCUUGCUCCUGGUGGCGAGUGGCGAACGGGUGAGUAAUGCAUCGGAACGUAUCCUGGAGUGGGGGGAUAACGUAGCGAAAGUUACGCUAAUACCGCAUAUUCUGUGAGCAGGAAAGCGGGGGACCUUCGGGCCUCGCGCUCUUGGAGCGGCCGAUGUCGGAUUAGCUAGUUGGUGAGGUAAAGGCUCACCAAGGCGACGAUCCGUAGCAGGUCUGAGAGGAUGAUCUGCCACACUGGAACUGAGACACGGUCCAGACUCCUACGGGAGGCGAGCAGUGGGAAUUUUGGACAAUGGGGGCAACCCUGAUCCAGCCAUGCCGCGUGAGUGAAGAAGGCCU
rnacentral:rRNA from 1 species